GAUCCUGCCGGAGGUCACUGCUAUUGGGAUUCGACUAAGCCAUGCGAGUCGAGAGGGUUCGGCCCUCGGCUGACGGCUCAGUAACACGUGGAUAAUCUGCCCUUAGGUGGAGGAUAAUCUCGGGAAACUGAGAAUAAUACUCCAUAGGUCUAAGAUGCUGGAAUGCACUUAGGCUGAAAGCCUCGGCGCCUAAGGAUGAGUCUGCGGACUAUCAGGUAGUAGUCAGGGUAAAGACCUGACUAGCCUACGACGGAUACGGGUUGUGAGAGCAAUAACCCGGAGACGAUAUCUGAGACACGAUAUCGGGCCCUACGGGGCGCAGCAGGCGCGAAACCUUCACACUGUGCGAAAGCACGAUGAGGGGAUCCCAAGUGCUGGCUCGUAAGAGUAAGCUGUUUCUCUGUCUAAAAAACAGAGAGAGUAAGAGCUGGGUAAGACGGGUGCCAGCCGCCGCGGUAAUACCUGCAGCUCAAGUGGUGGCCGUUAUUAUUGGGCCUAAAACGUCCGUAGCCGGUUUAGUAAAUGCCUGGGUAAAUCGUGUAGCUUAACUAUACGAAUUCCGGGUAGACUGCUAGACUUGAGACCGGGAGAAGCUAGAGGUACUCCUGGGGUAGAGGUGAAAUUCUGUAAUCCUAGGGGGACCACCAGUGGCGAAGGCGUCUAGCUAGAACGGGUCUGACGGUGAGGGACGAAGCCCUGGGGCGCAAACCGGAUUAGAUACCCGGGUAGUCCAGGGUGUAAACGCUGCUUGCUUGAUGUUAGUUGGGCUCCGAGCCCAAUUAGUGUCGGAGAGAAGUUGUUAAGCAAGCUGCCUGGGAAGUACGGUCGCAAGACUGAAACUUAAAGGAAUUGGCGGGGGAGCACAGCAACGGGUGGAGCGUGCGGUUUAAUUGGAGUCAACGCCGGA
rnacentral:rRNA from 1 species